AGAAAAGUGACCGCCGCCCCGCGCAGGGGCGACGCUAAUAGACCGUUGGCAAAACAGGUUCAACGACGGGGCAUGGCGAACCGACAAACAACCCACGCCCCCGCGAGCCACUC
rfam:Burkholderia thailandensis Bt4 PMP6xxBTHxxBt4-593, whole genome shotgun sequence.